rnacentral:lncRNA from 1 species
AGGUGAUGUGAAUUCUAUGAUCUGUGUCCACACAUUUUUAAAAGCCACUGCUCUAGACUCUGCUAAGAUGCCUGAGUGUUUCUCCACUUGCCCUCUCUUCCACCUCCUUACAUCUAGACCAGACUUCUCUGAGCCCAAAAGGACUAGAAGUUGCAGGUCCUUCUAGUUGUGGUAUGCUGCCUCUGCAUGGCCUGACGAGUGGUAGCCUGUCUGCUCCCAGGAUCCAAACUGGUGAAACCCUGGGCCACCAAAGCGGAGCAUGCGAACUUAACCACUUGGCCACCUGGCCGGGCCCAGAUAAUAGCCAUUCUAGAGUUGCUCAGCUAAUUUUGGGGCUCCUUUUAGAAGAAAUUGUUUCAUAUGUAGCUGUAGAUUCUGUGGCUUCAUGCAAAGAGUCCUCUGUCUCUUCUGAUACAAAUAUUUCAUCAGUUCUGGAGGUCAGAAGUCCACAAGGGGUCUCACUGGGCUACAAUCAAAGUAUCAGCAGGGCUGUGUUCCUUCUGGAGGUUCAAGGGGAGGAUCUGGGUCUGUGCCAGCUCUUCACCUCCUUCCAUCUUCAAAGCCAGAGAUGGUGGGCUGAGUCCUCACAUGGAAUCCUUCCAAACUUGAUUCGGUUGAGAAAUAUCAAUGUUUUUCUUGAAUAUUUUCUUGUCCAGAUUAGCAUCAGAAUUAACAUUUUAAGUCCUAGAACGUAACCUCAUUAAAUGUUUUACUGGAAUUGAAUAAUUUUGUAUAUUAAUUUUGGAAGAUUUGGCAUUUUUGUAAUGUUGAGAUUUCUCGUUUCAUAAUAUUGUAUAGUUUUCCAUAUAUUCGUAUUUAAAAAAAUUGAUUUAGGCGAGUUUUAUAAUUACCACACAGCUUUUUGGACAUUACUUUUUAUUGCUGAAUAGUAGUUUAUCGUAUGCAUUUACUAGAAUUUGUAUAUUGAUCCACUUGUUGACUGACAUUUGGACUGAUUCACAUUCUAGUUUUUGGCAGUUUCAAAGAAAGUUGCUAUGAACAUUUGCUGUAUUUUAAUUGUCAUUCAGUUCAAACUAUUUUAAAUUUUUUUUGUGAUUUUGUCUUGAUCCAAGAAUUAUCUAGAAGUCUGUUGUUUAAAUUACACAUAUUUGGAGUUUUCCUAGAUAUCUUGCUAUUAAAGAUUUCUAAUUUAAUUCUAUUGUGGCUAGGGAGUAUGUUCUAUAUCCUUUCAAUUCUUUUAAAUAUAGUUUAUGGUAAUACCUAUUCCUUUCUUAGUGCACAAUGUAAGUUCACAUUCACCAUGUAAAUGUGCAGUGAAAAAGAAUAUUUAUUCUGUGGUUGUUGGAUAUAAUGUCUUUCAAAUGUCAACCAGAUCAAGGUAGUUGAUAGUGUUAUUCAGACUCUUCAAGUCUUUACCGAGUAUUUUUGUCUACUUGCUCUAUCAAUUACUAAUUUUAAAUGAUUGCGUAGUUGCUUAUUUCUCCCUUUAAUUCUGUGCAUUUCUGUUUCAUGCAUUUUAAGCUUCUAUUAUGGGUGCAUACACGUUUAUUUUUAUUUUUU